GAUAAAAUGGGAAGAUUUACACAUCUCAGCCUCUCUGUCUACCUACCCCAUCCAAUCGUCCUUCCAUAUCUUCCCAAGCCAUGGUUCAGUGAAACCCAAGAAGCUUCCCAGUUGCCAUGGAAAUGCCAAGGAUACAUCUAAUAGGAAGUGGUGAAACUUGAACAGGAACAAGGAAGGGGUGUCCCCCAAUGAUUAUACAAGACCAUUUGCUGUCUGCAGCAAACUGACAUUGGAGCAUCAGUGGAUGGGGCGUGCAGAGAGAGCUCACAGGAGUGCUUAACUGCUCAUCUUUCGAGAGAUCUAAAGAGUAGAAGUGGUGGACCCCAGCCCCCAGAUAAGAAGUACCCAAACUGUGCUUCUUGCUCCAUCAUCAUUUCCUUUCUCAUCUCAUCCUCUGAUCCAAAGGCUUGUGGGUCAAUUGCUCAGGGUCUCAUUUAAACCACUGC
rnacentral:lncRNA from 1 species